rnacentral:rRNA from 1 species
AUGAACGCUGGCGGCGUGCCUAAUACAUGCCAGUCGAGCGAACAGACGAGGAGCUUGCUCCUCUGACGUUAGCGGCGGACGGGUGAGUAACACGUGGAUAACCUACCUAUAAGACUGGGAUAACUUCGGGAAACCGGAGCUAAUACCGGAUAAUAUAUUGAACCGCAUGGUUCAAUAGUGAAAGACGGUUUUGCUGUCACUUAUAGAUGGAUCCUCGCCGCAUUAGCUAGUUGGUAAGGUAACGGCUUACCAAGGCAACGAUGCGUAGCCGACCUGAGAGGGUGAUCGGCCACACUGGAACUGAGACACGGUCCAGAGUCCUGCGGUAGGCAGCAGUAGGGAAUCUUCCGCAAUGGGGGGAAACCUGACGGAGCAACGCCGCGUGAGUGAUGAAGGUCUUCGGAUCGUAAAAAUCUGUUAUUAGGGAAGAACAAAUGUGUAAGUAACUAUGCACGUCUUGACGGUACCUAAUCAGAAAGCCACGGCUAACUACGUG